CACUUUGAUUAACUGAAUCCUGAGGUUUAUGAGGCGAACCGUGGGAACUGAAUCUUCUAUGUUCCCAGAGGAAAAGAUAUCAAAGGAUAUUCCCCCAGUAGCGGCGAGCGAACGGUGAGGAGCCCAGAGCAUGAAUCAGCAUGUUUGUUAGUGUAAGCGUCUUGAAAGGCUCGCGAUACAGGGUGUCAGCCCCGUACACAAAAGUGCAUGUGCUGUGAGCUCGAUGAGUAGGGCGGGACACGUGGUAUCCUGUCUGAAUAUGGGGGGACCAUCCUCCAAGGCUAAAUACUCCUGACUGACCGAUAGUGAACCAGUACCGUGAGGGAAAGGCGAAAAGAACCCCGGCGAGGGGAGUGAAAAAGAACCUGAAACCGUGUACGUACAAGCAGUGGGAGCACAGGUUUACCUGUGUGACUGCGUACCUUUUGUAUAAUGGGUCAGCGACUUAUAUUCUGUAGCAAGGUUAACCGUAUAGGGGAGCCG
rnacentral:rRNA from 1 species